rnacentral:rRNA from 1 species
ACAGCUCUAUGCGGUGGAUCACUCGGCUCGUGCGU